GUCGCAAGACCAAAGUGGGGGACCUUCGGGCCUCAUGCCAUCAGAUGUGCCCAGAUGGGAUUAGCUAGUAGGUGGGGUAACGGCUCACCUAGGCGACGAUCCCUAGCUGGUCUGAGAGGAUGACCAGCCACACUGGAACUGAGACACGGUCCAGACUCCUACGGGAGGCAGCAGUGGGGAAUAUUGCACAAUGGGCGCAAGCCUGAUGCAGCCAUGCCGCGUGUGUGAAGAAGGCCUUCGGGUUGUAAAGCACUUUCAGCGGGGAGGAAGGCGAUAAGGUUAAUAACCUUGGCGAUUGACGUUACCCGCAGAAGAAGCACCGGCUAACUCCGUGCCAGCAGCCGCGGUAAUACGGAGGGUGCAAGCGUUAAUCGGAAUUACUGGGCGUAAAGCGCACGCAGGCGGUCUGUCAAGUCGGAUGUGAAAUCCCCGGGCUCAACCUGGGAACUGCAUUCGAAACUGGCAGGCUAGAGUCUUGUAGAGGGGGGUAGAAUUCCAGGUGUAGCGGUGAAAUGCGUAGAGAUCUGGAGGAAUACCGGUGGCGAAGGCGGCCCCCUGGACAAAGACUGACGCUCAGGUGCGAAAGCGUGGGGAGCAAACAGGAUUAGAUACCCUGGUAGUCCACGCCGUAAACGAUGUCGAUUUGGAGGUUGUGCCCUUGAGGCGUGGCUUCCGGAGCUAACGCGUUAAAUCGACCGCCUGGGGAGUACGGCCGCAAGGUUAAAACUCAAAUGAAUUGACGGGGGCCCGCACAAGCGGUGGAGCAUGUGGUUUAAUUCGAUGCAACGCGAAGAACCUUACCUGGUCUUGACAUCCACAGAACUUUCCAGAGAUGGAUUGGUGCCUUCGGGAACUGUGAGACAGGUGCUGCAUGGCUGUCGUCAGCUCGUGUUGUGAAAUGUUGGGUUAAGUCCCGCAACGAGCGCAACCCUUAUCCUUUGUUGCCAGCGGU
rnacentral:rRNA from 1 species